rnacentral:misc_RNA from 1 species
ACAUAGACACGCAGACAUUACGAUUGUAACGCCCAAGACAGAAGCAGUCAGGUAACCUUAUCAUGGAUCACACCAAUGUCAGUAAAAGCCAUCUAAUAUCAGAUGGCAAGAACAACCCACAAAAGUAAAUAAGGGGAAACCAUAUCAAUGUCCGCAGUUUACUAUACAUUUUAAAACAGGAGAAUCCAGCAUAUAUAUAUCUCUUGAUUAAAAAAAUAAUAGUGAUAGGAGAAAAAUAAUAAAAAAAAUCAAUAAAGAUUUUCUUCUGUUUCAGAUUAUCAAACAUUAACCAUAUUUCAUGAG